UGUGCUGCCUCGCUGCCUCACUUUCUCUUGCUAUAGAGAGGACACAUGGUGAGCACAUG
rnacentral:pre_miRNA from 1 species